AUGGAGGAAGCACAACUUACAAAGGUGUAACUUUGCAUCACCCUAAGAGAUGGCAUGCCGUCACCGGAAAAGGCUUGUGCGCUGUCAUGUGGCAAUCCCUUCUUCUAUUCCCUCCUUCCCUUUUAGUUUGACUCAAUCUGAAUCUUCAUUUGUCAUUUUUUUCAUCAAUCUGUAGUUUUAAAUCUGCCUUGUCAAAUAAAACAAGCCUAAGUAUAUAAUCCCCAAUCCGUCAAUUUUGCUUUUUUUAGAUAUGCUUUAUUGAACGAAAUCUGUUGAGCUAGUCAUUGACGAAUUGGGUGCAAUUUAUAUUAGCACAGCUAAAGAAGAAGGAUAUGCCUUGAGAGGGAAGAAUCAACUUCUAAAGUAAAGGCUUGAAUUUGGAUCGAAUUAACUUGAUUUUCAGAGGGUUUUAUGUCUUAGAUUUCUCUUGUUUUUCCGGGUUAGGCUGCAAACUUUUCAUUAGGGAUCAUGGUCCAUGGCAGUUGUGAUUUUCAUUCGAAUAUUUAUUUUUGUUGUGUGAUGCUACGGAUCUCUAGAUGAUAAUAAUAAUAAUAAUAAAUAAGAUUUUCUGAAGUUUCUCAAAUUCUGGUGUUUCAGGUUUUGGGUCCUUUAGAUGGUCCUGUAGUGUUGAAUUAUUAACAUUUGGGUUCAUAGCACAGAGCAGAGUAGAUUGACACAGAGCAGAGUAGAUUGACACAGAGGUAGCAAUUAACUGGUAACGAAGGGUUUCCAUCAGUCAGCUUUGCCUUUGUAGGAUAAUCAGAACAAACAAUAAAUGUUGUAGGGUUUCCAUUGAUUGAUUGCUUUCUGCUGGUCUCUUUUGGGGGUGCUUCUAUGGCUUUUGCGGCACCGGAUAUUUCAUCUGCCGAACGACAACCAGAUUAUCCUUUGUAUCGUGAACUAUGGCAUGCCUGUGCUGGACCUCUUGUCACGCUUCCUCGCGUAGGGGAGCGUGCUUAUUAUUUCCCACAAGGUCACAUGGAACAACUUGAGGCAUCAAUGCAUCAGGGGGUCACAACACCAAAUACCUUCAUUCAAUCUACCAUCUAAAAUACUUUGCAAAGUGGCUUCUGUUCAGCGUAAGGUAAGUUAUUAAUACCUCGAUCGUAAGGUAAGUUUUCAGUACUGUUUGGUCGAACCCAUUUCUUAAUUUGUUUGUACUUAUGGCACAAUGCUAACAAACAAUUCUUAUGGCAUUUGUCCUAUAUUUAAUGAUGGAUUCUUCUAUGUUUUCUCUGACUUCCAUAACCAUUUAUUAGAAUAACUGCUGUACUUUUCAGAAAGGAAUAAGGUAAUAUGCAACACCAUACUUAAACAAGAACACAUCUGGUAGUCUUUCCUUUUUU